rnacentral:rRNA from 1 species
GACGAACGCUGGCGGCGUGCUUAACACAUGCAAGUCGAACGGAAAGGCCCUGCUUUUGUGGGGUGCUCGAGUGGCGAACGGGUGAGUAACACGUGAGUAACCUGCCCUUGACUUUGGGAUAACUUCAGGAAACUGGGGCUAAUACCGGAUAGGAGCUCCUGCUGCAUGGUGGGGGUUGGAAAGUUUCGGCGGUUGGGGAUGGACUCGCGGCUUAUCAACUUGUUGGUGGGGUAGUGGCUUACCAAGGCUUUGACGGGUAGCCGGCCUGAGAGGGUGACCGGCCACAUUGGGACUGAGAUACGGCCCAGACUCCUACGGGAGGCAGCAGUGGGGAAUAUUGCACAAUGGGCGGAAGCCUGAUGCAGCAACGCCGCGUGCGGGAUGACGGCCUUCGGGUUGUAAACCGCUUUCGCCUGUGACGAAGCGUGAGUGACGGUAAUGGGUAAAGAAGCACCGGCUAACUACGUG